rnacentral:tRNA from 1 species
GGGCCCGUAGCUCAGGUGGUAGAGCACCGGCCUUUUAAGCCGGGUGUCGAGAGUUCGAAUCUCUCCGGGCUCA